AGUGAACGCUGGCGGUAGGCCUAACACAUGCAAGUCGAACGGCAGCACAGUAAGAGCUUGCUCUUACGGGUGGCGAGUGGCGGACGGGUGAGGAAUACAUCGGAAUCUACUUUUUCGUGGGGGAUAACGUAGGGAAACUUACGCUAAUACCGCAUACGACCUACGGGUGAAAGUAGGGGAUCUUCGGACCUUGCGCGAUUGAAUGAGCCGAUGUCGGAUUAGCUAGUUGGCGGGGUAAAGGCCCACCAAGGCGACGAUCCGUAGCUGGUCUGAGAGGAUGAUCAGCCACACUGGAACUGAGACACGGUCCAGACUCCUACGGGAGGCAGCAGUGGGAAUAUUGGACAAUGGGCGCAAGCCUGAUCCAGCCAUACCGCGUGGGUGAAGAAGGCCUUCGGGUUGUAAAGCCCUUUUGUUGGGAAAGAAAAGCAGCAGGUUAAUACCCCGCUGUUCUGACGGUACCCAAAGAAUAAGCACCGGCUAACUUCGUG
rnacentral:rRNA from 1 species